ACGAGUCCCAAAUAGGACGAAACGCACGUC
rfam:Schistosoma haematobium scaffold411_16, whole genome shotgun sequence.